rnacentral:rRNA from 1 species
GAGGGAAAGGCGAAAAGAACCCCGGCGAGGGGAGUGAAAAAGAACCUGAAACCGUGUACGUACAAGCAGUGGGAGCCUCUUUAUGGGGUGACUGCGUACCUUUUGUAUAAUGGGUCAGCGACUUAUAUUCUGUAGCAAGGUUAACCGAAUAGGGGAGCCGAAGGGAAACCGAGUCUUAACUGGGCGUUAAGUUGCAGGGUAUAGACCCGAAACCCGGUGAUCUAGCCAUGGGCAGGUUGAAGGUUGGGUAACACUAACUGGAGGACCGAACCGACUAAUGUUGAAAAAUUAGCGGAUGACUUGUGGCUGGGGGUGAAAGGCCAAUCAAACCGGGAGAUAGCUGGUUCUCCCCGAAAGCUAUUUAGGUAGCGCCUCGUGAAUUCAUCUCCGGGGGUAGAGCACUGUUUCGGCAAGGGGGUCAUCCCGACUUACCAACCCGAUGCAAACUGCGAAUACCGGAGAAUGUUAUCACGGGAGACACACGGCGGGUGCUAACGUCCGUCGUGAAGAGGGAAACAACCCAGACCGCCAGCUAAGGUCCCAAAGUCAUGGUUAAGUGGGAAACGAUGUGGGAAGGCCCAGACAGCCAGGAUGUUGGCUUAGAAGCAGCCAUCAUUUAAAGAAAGCGUAAUAGCUCACUGGUCGAGUCGGCCUGCGCGGAAGAUGUAACGGGGCUAAACCAUGCACCGAAGCUGCGGCAGCGACACUAUGUGUUGUUGGGUAGGGGAGCGUUCUGUAAGCCUGCGAA